rnacentral:rRNA from 1 species
AUACGGAGGGUGCGAGCGUUAAUCGGAAUUACUGGGCGUAAAGCGUACGUAGGCGGUUUGCUAAGUCAGAUGUGAAAGCCCCGGGCUUAACCUUGGAACUGCAUUUGAUACUGGCAGACUAGAGUAUGAUAGAGGGGGGUAGAAUUCCUGGUGUAGCGGUGAAAUGCGUAGAUAUCAGGAGGAAUACCAGUGGCGAAGGCGGCCCCCUGGAUCAAUACUGACGCUGAGGUACGAAAGCGUGGGGAGCGAACAGGAUUAGAUACCCUAGUAGUCC